GCCCCGGGGCUCCGCGCCCCUGGCCCGCGCCCCGCGCCGCGCCUGGCCCCGAGCUCAGGCCCCGGCUCCCCGGCCCGGCCGCCCCGCGGGCCCCUCGCAGAAGUUUUGAUCGUCUUCGAAACAAAUCCCUCUGCUCCACCCCCUUGAAAAAUUGAUUUGGGAGUUGGGGAGCGAAGGCUUUCUUUUUUCUCCUCUGCCUUCUUUAUUAUUAAUAUUUUGUAAAGCUCCAGCGCUACGAGGAGUGGCCCCGAGCGAGGCCAGACUGCGCGGACGGCAGGGAGCGCGGCGGCUCCGCCAGGGGACGGCGCCGGCCGGGAGUGGCCGCUUGGGAACCCCCGACUGUCGGCCGAGGGUUGUCGAGAGGCUGAAACAUAAGUGCUCACCACAACACCCAGCACCUACCAGGCCUCUAUACAUAUUUGAAUCUUUGGCUUUCUUGCCAAAUGGAUGGGCUGGAUUAUUUCUGCAGCCUGUCUGGAACCGGGAGCUUCCCCAGCUGAGGACCACAGUGAGAGCAGAGAAGACCCAGGAUCGUAUUUGAAACCAUAAAAGCCACAUGAAGACACUAAGAAUAACUUGCAGAAAGACAUUUUCUAUGAAUUGAACACAGAGUCCCAAAACCCAGAAAGUUCCCUGGUCUCUAUCUCAUGGGCCCGUGUCUGGGGAAGGGGGCCCGAUGUGAGGCUGGGGCCAGUGCCCAUCCUAUUUGAUCUUUAUCUUAAAUCCACUUCAAAAUGCUGUGGCUUGGUGGAUUGAAGGUUCGCCCCUUCCUGUAAUUAUUUGGUGUCUGGUAAAGUUUUUAUGAGUGUUUGUGCAAA
rnacentral:lncRNA from 1 species